GCCCACGCUGCAGACCAUCCAGCUCUAAGGCCGCUAACUCCGCUACCUGUCUCUCAGCCCUGAGAACGGAGUGCAGGGUCUCCAGGGCCUCCAGCUCUUGUGGGCUCUGAGCCCAGGGCUGAGCGCUCCCCAGGGCCUGCACGGCCCUCAGUCUGGGACUGCUCUGGGACUGUCUGGAGCCAAAGUGGCUUGAGGCACCUUGUGGAAAAACCAUUUCCCAUCUGGCAGCCCACGGAAGUUUCCUCAGCAUAAGCUCUGCUGGUGAGGCUCCCCAAUCCGCAGGUCUCAGAGCGCUCCGACGAAGAAGGCUGGCUGACCGCAGGAGAAAGGGAAAGUACCCAGAGGAACACGCUCCUGAGACCACCAAAUAAAGAAGUCAAUCAGUCCUCCUAGAGGAUGACAGACCACAUGAAGGAGAACAGAGACCCCCAGCCAACAGCCAGACAUGUGAACAAGGACAUCUUGAACUUUCUACCUCAGCAGUUGCAUAAGUGAGCCAGGUGGAAUUCCACCAAGAUUUCAUCGGGAGAUGGAAUCAAUUUCUCCACCCCUUAAAUCUUCACUUCUCUUGGCUAACGGGACCUUGGUAAGCAUACGGCAAACAGAGACUUGAAAAGAGCUUCCCUUUCUCUUGUCUGCUGCUGGGAACCCUUCACAAGCCCUGCAAACCUUCUACAGGAUGACAGCCUUGCAGAAGCAGGCA